AGUGGACGCGAGCAUCUUUGGUUUUUUGUAAGUGUUUAAGAGCGUUCGGUGGAUGCCUUGGCAUGUAGAGCCGAUGAAGGACGUUGUAGCCUGCGAUAAGCCUCGGGGAGUUGGCAAACGAGCUGUGAUCCGAGGGUGUCCGAAUGGGGAAACCUGGCCAGAGUUAUGUCUGGUUACCUGCAUCUGAAUGUAUAGGGUGUGUGGGGGUAACGUCGGGAAGUGAAACAUCUUAGUACCGGCAGGAAAAGAUAUUCUGUGAGUAGUGGCGAGCGAAAGCGGAUGAGGCUAAACCGGGUGUGUGUGAUAGCUGUCGGGCGUUGCAUAUCCGGGGUUGUGGGGCGUGCUUGUAGGUCUUCCGAUAGGGGCCUGGGGAGUUAUAAAACCGCAGUGUAGUUGAACAGGGUGGGAAACCUGACCGUAGAGGGUGAUAGUCCCGUAGGUGAAAUGUUGUGGUCUUCUUUGAGUGUGUUGCCCAAGUAGCACGGGACUCGUGAAAUUUCGUGUGAAUCUGCACAGACCACUGUGUAAGCCUAAAUACUCUGCGUGACCGAUAGUGGAUAGUACCGUGAGGGAAUGGUGAAAAGUACCCCGGGAGGGGAGUGAAAUAGUUCCUGAAACCGGACGCUUACAAUCCGUCAGAGCCUUCUUGGUGGGGGUGAUGGCGUGCCUUUUGAAGAAUGAGCCUGCGAGUUAGUGGCAUGUAGCGAGGUUAACCUGUGUGGGGUAGCCGUAGCGAAAGCGAGUUUUAAAAUGCGUUGUAGUUGCAUGUUCUAGACCCGAAGCGGGGUGAUCUACCCAUGGGCAGUGUGAAGCACGUGUAAGAGCGUGUGGAGGCGCGAACCCACUUCAGUUGAAAAUGGAGGGGAUGACCUGUGGGUAGGGGUGAAAGGCCAAUCAAACUCCGUGAUAGCUGGUUCUCCCCGAAAUGCAUUUAGGUGCAGCGUUGUGUGUGCUUUGUGGAGGUAGAGCUACUGGAUGGCCGAUGGCCCUGACCGGGGUACUGACGUCAGCCAAACUCCGAAUGCCAUAAAGUUGAGCAUGGCAGUGAGACUGCGGGGGAUAAGCUCCGUAGUCGAGAGGGAAACAGCCCAGACCAUCGGUUAAGGCCCCUAAGCGUGUGCUAAGUGGGAAAGGAUGUGGAGUUGCUGUGACAACCAGGAGGUUGGCUUAGAAGCAGCCAUCCUUGAAAGAGUGCGUAAUAGCUCACUGGUCAAGUGAUUCUGCGCCGACAAUGUAGCGGGGCUAAGUACACCGCCGAAACCGUGGCAGCACAAGUUUUUUUGUGUUGGGUAGGGGAGCGUCGUGCGUGAGGUGAAGCAGUUGUGUGAAUUGCUGUGGAUUUCGUACGAGUGAGAAUGCAGGCAUGAGUAACGAAUGAUGGGUGAGAAUCCCGUCCGCCGAAUGACUAAGGGUUCCAGGGCCAGGUUCUUCCGCCCUGGGUUAGUCGGGUCCUAAGGCGAGGCCGACAGGCGUAGUCGAUGGGCAACCAGUUGUUAUUCUGGUACCGGUGAAAGACCGUUCAGUGUUGAAGCUUGUGAUACUAACCAUCCUUGAUGCUGUGUGAUCCUUUCGGGGGUUGUGUGGUUGAUGGCGUGGGAUCUGAACUUGUGUGUAGGCAAGCGUGUUAACAGGGGUGACGCACAGUGGUAGCUUCCGCGUGGCUUAUGGCUUGCCACGUUUAACAGCGCAGCCCGUUGGAUAGGUAAAUCCGUCCGGCAUAUAGGGUGAGGCUGGAUGAUGACCCAAUUUUUUGGGGAAGUAGGGUGAUCCUGUGGUGCCUAGAAAAACCUCGACGCGAGGUCUGAGCCGCCCGUACCCUAAACCGACACAGGUGGUCGAGUAGAGUAUACUAAGGCGUUCGAGUGAAUCGUGGUUAAGGAACUCGGCAAAAUGCCCCCGUAACUUUGGAAGAAGGGGGGCCUGAUCCUUGAAGCCUGUACGGGCUAGGGGUGAUGGCCGCAGAAACCAGGGAGAAGCGACUGUUUAUCAAAAACAUAGGUCCGUGCGAACACGUAAGUGGAUGUAUACGGACUGACGCCUGCCCGGUGCUGGAAGGUUAAGAGGAACGGUUAAAACCCUUUUGGGUUUGAAGCUGUGAAUUUAAGCCCCAGUAAACGGCGGUGGUAACUAUAACCAUCCUAAGGUAGCGAAAUUCCUUGUCGGGUAAGUUCCGACCUGCACGAAUGGCGUAACGACUUCUCCACUGUCUCAACCGCGAACUCGGUGAAAUUGCAUUACGAGUAAAGAUGCUCGUUACGCGCAGAAGGACGGAAAGACCCCGGGACCUUUACUAUAGCUUGGUAUUGGUGUUUGGUACGGUUUGUGUAGGAUAGGUGGGAGACUGUGAAGCAUGCACGCCAGUGUGUGUGGAGUCAUUGUUGAAAUACCACUCUGAUCGUGCUGGAUGUCUAACCUUGGACCAUGAUCUGGUUCAGGGACAGUGCCUGGUGGGUAGUUUAACUGGGGCGGUUGCCUCCUAAAAUGUAACGGAGGCGCUCAAAGGUUCCCUCAGCCUGGUUGGUAAUCAGGUGGCGAGUGCAAGUGUACAAGGGAGCUUGACUGUGAGACUGACAGGUCGAGCAGGUGCGAAAGCAGGAACUAGUGAUCCGGCGGUGGCUUGUGGAAGCGCCGUCGCUCAACGGAUAAAAGGUACCCCGGGGAUAACAGGCUGAUCCUGCCCAAGAGUUCAUAUCGACGGCAUGGUUUGGCACCUCGAUGUCGGCUCGUCGCAUCCUGGGGCUGGAGUAGGUCCCAAGGGUUGGGCUGUUCGCCCAUUAAAGCGGCACGCGAGCUGGGUUCAGAACGUCGUGAGACAGUUCGGUCCCUAUCCUCUGCGCGCGUUGGAAACUUGAAAAGGGCUGUCCCUAGUACGAGAGGACCGGGACGGACGAACCUCUGGUGUGCCAGUUGUACCGCCAGGUGCAUGGCUGGUUGGCUACGUUCGGAAAGGAUAACCGCUGAAAGCAUCUAAGUGGGAAGCCUGCUUUAAGAUAAGGUUUCCAUACAACCUUUGGGUUGUGUGAGGCCCCCUAUAGACCAUGGGGUUGAUAGGCCAGACGUGGAAGCCUGGUAACGGGUGGAGCUGACUGGUACUAAUGGCCGAUCACCUACAAAAAA
rnacentral:rRNA from 1 species